CUCAACGCAGGCAGUUAUGGUGGCAGACACAUUCCAGAUGGAAAGAUCAUCCUGUUUCCAGACACUGUAACAAAGGCUUUGGCAGUUGCGCACCACUGUGAGACACAAGCCUAAAGUCAAGUCGCAGGAAAUGACUAAAUGUGAUUGGCGUGGGUCAGAGGGCAUUACCCUUGGGAUUGGAGACAAU
rnacentral:lncRNA from 1 species